GAAGAAAUGUCUCAACUCUCUGACAUAAUUUCAGAACGCGACGAUUUUACUCCCUUCUGUUAACCUGACUCCCGUACCGCAAACCAAACAACCAAACGAACUACGUAGCCACAUAGGCAACAGGUGAAAACACCCCACCUCCCACCUUCUUCCUCCCCGUGCAACCCACCCCCACUGCGUAGCGCCCCCUCCAUCUACACCUCACCUCCCCCCGCCCUACCUGCAUCCAACCCCGGGCGGUGCCCCGCCGCGCCCACCCCCACCCCCACCUUUCUCCCCGGCGGCGCGCUGCCACGCCUCAACUCCAUCCACCUUUCUCCCCCACCGUGCCCACCCCACCUCCUUGCGGCCCACCACUGCUGCUGCACGCCUCCUGCACAACCACGCCCCGAUGUGCCGCCUCCUGCUACCUCCGUCCUCCUUUCCGGAUUCAGCCGAGCAGGGCCCCAGCAACCACCACCCCCGCCCAGAUCCGUCAGGCGCGCGCCGGAGGUGCCGAGCCGCGGCCGGAUCCAUGGAGUCGACCCCGAAUCCCAUCGUCCUCAAGACACGACUGCAUCGGGGCCGCAUCUUCCAUAGGAUCCAGAAUCUCCCACUUUCCUCUUUCCCGGCUCGUUGCAGUUUAGUGGUUGCACGCUGCGGCGCCGAUGCGUGCCCUGUACGCGGCUAGCUCUCCACCCUCUUCUUCAACCUACGGGUGGUACUACCACCGUGGGCGUGGGUGCCUAGCCUGCUGCCCCGCAUCGGCGCCUCUACGUGCAUCUCCGGCCGUCCAACCUCGCGCCUCGACGGCCUCCUACAAGCACGGCUAUGUCGACCGCGGAGUUCAGCUGGGCGCUGCAGCUCUCCCUCCUCACCCAUGCCACUUCGUCCACAUCGUCAGUGCUUUCGACAGACCACCUGCAGUUCGCCCCCUCCCCUUGGCGGCCCAGCGGCCACCACGAGCCGGUGACACCCUGCAUGCUGCAGUUCUUUUUGGGUUGAUGUUGAAUUAAUCGGUGCUGAAGGCCCGUGCAGUCUGUUGUGGCGCAAGCAUGCAGUACGGGCGGCGGCGAGGUAGCUCGUGUAGUUCCUGUACGCGGCGCGUGCGGUUUGUUUGCAGCCCAUGUGCAGGAUGCAUGCAGGUCGUGUGUGUGUGUGUGUCGACGUUCAGUUCGCCGGGAAACUACAGAAGAAAAAUGAUCAUUUUUUUAAGUUCACUUUCUUCUUGAAUGUGUUAGAGAGAAAAUGUAAAAAGUUACAAAAAAGAUGUAGUCCGUUGGUGUAGUGCUUGCAGCUCGCGCAGUUCGUCUGUGAAGUUUUUAGGUAUUUUUUAUUUGUAAUAAGGUGUCUGGUUAA